rnacentral:ncRNA from 1 species
GCUGGUCCCCAGAGGGUUAAUAGGGAACAAGGCGUGCGGUUUGCCGUGCGAUCCUUGGCUGUACCCGCAACUGUAGGCGGCUAGCGGAAGACCUCGACAGCCACUGGUAUUGCAGCCGGGAAGGCCGGUCUUCUGCGACGACCCGCGAGCCAGGAGACCUGCCAGCGCA